rnacentral:rRNA from 1 species
AGAGUUUGAUCCUGGCUCAGAGCGAACGCUGGCGGCAGGCUUAACACAUGCAAGUCGAGCGGGCGUAGCAAUACGUCGGCGGCAGACGGGUGAGUAACGCGUGGGAACGUACCUUUUGGUUCGGAACAACACAGGGAAACUUGUGCUAAUACCGGAUAAGCCCUUACGGGGAAAGAUUUAUCGCCGAAAGAUCGGCCCGCGUCUGAUUAGCUAGUUGGUGAGGUAACGGCUCACCAAGGCGACGAUCAGUAGCUGGUCUGAGAGGAUGAUCAGCCACAUUGGGACUGAGACACGGCCCAAACUCCUACGGGAGGCAGCAGUGGGGAAUAUUGGACAAUGGGCGCAAGCCUGAUCCAGCCAUGCCGCGUGAGUGAUGAAGGCCCUAGGGUUGUAAAGCUCUUUUGUGCGGGAAGAUAAUGACGGUACCGCAAGAAUAAGCCCCGGCUAACUUCGUGCCAGCAGCCGCGGUAAUACGAAGGGGGCUAGCGUUGCUCGGAAUCACUGGGCGUAAAGGGUGCGUAGGCGGGUCUUUAAGUCAGGGGUGAAAUCCUGGAGCUCAACUCCAGAACUGCCUUUGAUACUGAAGAUCUUGAGUUCGGGAGAGGUGAGUGGAACUGCGAGUGUAGAGGUGAAAUUCGUAGAUAUUCGCAAGAACACCAGUGGCGAAGGCGGCUCACUGGCCCGAUACUGACGCUGAGGCACGAAAGCGUGGGGAGCAACAGGAUUAGAUACCCUGGUAGUCCACGCCGUAAACGAUGAAUGCCAGCCGUUAGUGGGUUUACUCACUAGUGGCGCAGCUA